CCUACGGGUGGCAGCAGUGAGGAAUAUUGGUCAAUGGACGAGAGUCUGAACCAGCCAAGUAGCGUUAAGGAUGACUGCCCUAUGGGUUGUAAACUUCUUUUAUAAAGGAAUAAAACUAGGCACGUGUGCCUUUUUGCAUGUACUUUAUGAUUAAGGAUCGGCUAACUCCGUGCCAGCAGCCGCGGUAAUACGGAGGAUCCGAUCGUUAUCCGGAUUUAGUGGGUUUAAAGGGAGCGUAGACGGGUUGUUAAGUCAGUUGUGAAAGUUUGGGGCCCAACCGUAAAACUGCAAUGGAUACUGGGUAACUGGAGUACAGGAGGGGCAGGCGGAAUUCGUGGUGUAGCGGUGAAAUGCGUAGAUAUCAGGAGGAACACCGACGGCGAAGGCGGCUUGCUGGACUGUAACUGACGCUGAGGUGCGAAAGCGUGGGUAGCAAACAGGAUUAGAUACCCUAGUAGUC
rnacentral:rRNA from 1 species